UGUUGGAGUUAACACCCAAAGUGCCGCCCAAU
rnacentral:piRNA from 1 species